rnacentral:rRNA from 1 species
AUGCUAAAAAGCAAGUGGAUACUGGUUGUCACGUUCCAGCACACACCUUUUAUCACCGCCCGAUCUCGUCGGCCCGUGCGCGAUCGAGCUCAGGUUUUCCCUGGUCGGGGCGGACGGUUCGGCCUCCCCGCGACAAGUAUUCACCUGGGAGGGCCCACCACUACCCACACGUCCUGUCCGUUGGCGUCGUGUUCGAAACUGCCCAGAGCCACCGCCCCAAUCCCCCCAAUCCGCCCCCAAUCCUCUUCCCAUUCUCUCCCUCCCUCCUCGACGCCAUUUCUCUCCCCCUGUUCUUCGCGAGUUCAACCGUGGCCCCCAAGCCCCCGACAGCUGCCAGAGAGCGGAGGGCGUGCGCGGCGGCGGUGUUUGAGCGGCAGAGCUACGCGAGUGUGCAUAGGUGCGCGCGGCCCCCGCAGAUUAAGGCGGAACGGGUUCAAUCUCGUCGCGUCCAUGGCAAAAGGGGUGCGCGGUGAAGGUCGCCGACGGCGCUGCGUGUCCGGUGGCCUAGUAUUCUGGAAUCCUGAGGUAUGCACAAAUCGCCACCGUUCUCUCUGCUUUCUGCGUGUCCUCGAUGUUGCGGAGGGUUGGGAUUUGGUUGGGCUUCAUGCGAGGAGGGAGGUGGAUGUAAUCACGCUCCCAUAG